UAUUUAGAAAAAAGGAAAGUCCGCACCGCGACCUUGAAUCGAAGCGAAGCCGCUCGCCAGACGGAGAGACGACCUCCUCCCGGGGGGGUCACGGCCCCGAGGGAGGAAGGGUGGAGGACGCCAGGAGGAGGAGUGUCAGGGGGGAGAUUGACAGGCGGUGAGUCGUGAAGGUCGGGAACCACCGCCGGUGAGUCUCCCUCCUCCUCCGUUUACCUGAGAGACGUCUUUGUCCCUCAUCCUGCAGCGAGUCCUCCGUCCCACCACAUAUUAGGACAUUUAAACUGGUGCCCAGUCUGCCUGAGCGGUUUGUCCCUCCGUAGCAACGGAGCACGAGCAGCGAGUCUGCGUCUGCGUCCCGACCAAGACGACAGCUUCUCUCUACUCGCGAUGGACCGAUUCCCCCGAUGAGCAGGACUUUUAUUUUGAAGAGAAACUGCUCAGAGGGAUUAAUGAGACACAUUGAGUGAAGCUGGAAGAGAGCAGCCGAGUGUGAUGGGAGACAAUUAGAGAGGACACGUCAACACACAUGAACAGACACCACGAUGGGCAACAGCCCGAGGACGUGUGUGUCUGUGUGUGUCUGUGUGUGUCUGUGUGUGGGGGGAGGCAGUAAGCAGAUGUGCAACAUCUCUCACAUGCAUGUUGACAAACACAGAUGAGGUUUGUUUGUGUGUUAAUCAGCAGGAGGAAGAUACGGACAGAGACAGACAGACAGAGACAGACAGACAGACAGACAGACAGGCAGACAGACAGAGACAGACAGACAGACAGACAGACAGAGACAGACAGACAGAAAGACAGACAGAGACAGACAGACAGACAGAGACAGACAGACAGACAGACAGACAGACGGACAGAGACAGACAGACAGACAGACAGACAGACAGACAGACAGACAGAGACAGAGACAGACAGACAGACAGACAGACAGACAGACAGACAGACAGACAGACAGACAGAGAGAGAGGACAUUGAUGUCCUUGUGGGACAGACAGUAACUUACGCUACAAAUAUGUCUGAAACUUUUGUCAAAGUGGAAAAGUAUGAGACAAAAACACGUCCAGUUACUCGCCGUGUUGCGCGACUCCGGCGGUUACAUGAAUGCGAGGAUUUUCAAAAUAAAACUCUAAAGCCACAAACGAAAAGCAAAAGCUGAGAAGAUUUAAAAACCUGUUAAUUGCUGAACUUUUGAGGUUUAUUUUUGGAAUCAUUUGAAAACCGCUUCACAGCUGUGACUUGUUAGCGGGUCCAGACGAGCACUGAAGAUCGUGCUGGCAGCCGAAAAUAUAAAAAUACUGAACAGUUCAAUCCCCAGAACAGCUCAUGGUUCAUAGCACGUAGCAUGUAGCACGUAGCACGUUGUGUGUUGCUGCACUGCGUGUCGAUGGCUGCAGUCCGGAUGACCUUGUCCUACUUGGUGAUUGGUGUCGCCUGAGGCAACAGCUGAUUGGCUGUCGAUAAGCUGUUAGCUCAGCAGAUAGAGGAAGAGGGGCGGGGCUAGUGGGACCAGGUCACAGAUCUGCCAUCAUUUGCUUUCUCCGAUCGAGUUCAAAGCCCAGGGGUAGCUUAGCAUAAAGAAACCGCUAGCCUAGCUUAGCUCAGGGAACAAUACACCAACCACCAGCAAGUGUGUUAGCCUCGUAGCUAACACACUUUAGCUUCUCCGAAAACAAAGAAUGUGUUUUUAGGGGUUAGAAACUCGUGUUGCGACUACGAUCUGUAAAGAAACAAGUAUGUAGCUGUGAUAGCUACUAUUGGCACAGCUCGCUAAAAAUGAAUGGCAGACGACAUCGUGCUAAGCUAAGCUAAUCCACGUCUUAUUAACCGCGCUGUUCACCAGCUGACGUGUUGCUGUAGACGUUCACAUUUUAACAAGCUGCAGAGUUCAACACUGUUGAUGUGGAAUCUGAUGAAUAUGCAACAAUAUUUAUGUGUGUGUGUGUGUGUGUGUGUGUGUGUGUGUGUGCGCGCUGAUUUGUUGCCUUUUAAAAGGGUCAUUCUGACACACACACACAUUAAAGUACCAACAAAUAAACACACACACUGACAUGGUGAUCAAUGAAUACGACAAAUACUCAACCUCUGCGACUCCAAGCAGGCUCGAGUGUAUAUUGUCUCUCACACACACACACACACACAGUCACGCACAGACACACACACACACACACACAGUCACGCACAGACACACACACACACACACAGUCACGCACAGACACACACACACACACUGGUUGUGGUGCGAUGGCAGGUUGCUUGAGGCUGCAUCCAGAAAUAAAGACAAUAGAAUAAACAGGAGGGGAAAACACGGUUUGUCACCUCGGGGCUGCCAAGCGCACAAUAUCUGGAGGACAGAAUGACACACAAGAGCCAUGUGUGUGUGUGUGUGUGUGUGUGUGUGUGUGUGUGUGUGUGCAGCGGAACAAUAAAUAAUAGUUAGGAGCGAAGCUGCGGUUUAAUGAAGGAGCUGCAUUCAUUCUUCAUUUAAAUAUGCAAAUCCAGCUGUUUCAUUUGGUUAACGAGGCCGUUUGUGUUCAGGUUUAAUUCUGUUACGUCCGACUCUUAAUUAAUAUUAAUACAUUUCAUUUAUAUGCAGUUUUUUUUAAAAGGGCUCAAGGCACUUUUACUUUCUUUCUUGCAUAUGCAUAUAUAU
ensembl:lncRNA